UGGAAACUCUGGCCAGAGGCCGAGCUGUGAGCGCGCUUCGUCCCAGGGAGGAACAGAGGGCCGAGACGCGCACGGAGGCCCAGAGGGAACUCGCUGUGUACCGGCACAUGUGCAGUGUGCCUCAAAGGCUCGGCGGCUAUUUCUAAUCCUUUUUUAAUAAUAUGGCCUGACACCAACCGAAGCUUUUACAUGGAGAUGAAAAGCUUAUUUGCUUGUAAAAUUUUCGAAAGGAAUUAUUGCAAUAAAGGAACAUCUUGUUCUGGAAGCCUGAUUUGCUGUGCCCGGUGGCUGGUGGUUGUGAAUCACCGGGUGACGGCAGGCCCCACGGAGCAGGUCUCGGCAUGCUCUCUCCCGGGAAACGCGGAGAGCCACAGCCUACGACCAGGAGCGAUCAGCUGCAGCCCUGGACCCGCCCAGCGCCCCCAGUCCGCCAAGCCUGUGAACAAUGCACCCAAGCACCGUUCAUCCACUCCUUAGUUUUGGGCAACAUUUCCAGGUGACAAAGCUUAUUCAAAGGGCUUUGCUCAUUUCAGAAAAGUCCUGGAACCUGGGUUUGUCUGUAACACUCAGCGCUCACAAGUGUCCUCUAUGCACCAAUUUCUUUCACGCACGCCUUCCUCCUGACCUUCGAAUGGCCCCAAAGACGCUUCAUCAUGUGUAUUGUUCUGUCCCUUGUGAGGUGCUUUCCACCCCUGCCAGAGCUGGAGGCAGGGACUGCACAGCCGCUGGCCGGUGGAUUCUGAGGCACAGACACAGCUCCCAGCGCGCCGGAAGCCAGCGGGAGCAGCGGGAGCAGCGCUGCUGGAAGUGGAUGGAACCCCGGC